GCCGAUAUAAGUUGUAAGCGUGUCUAGUUGAAACAUUUCAAUCAGUUGCCAACCUCAAGUCUGCAUCCUCAUAAUGUGGAUGAUUCACAAUGGGGUGAAGGGUAGACAGCUUGACACUGGCCAUUGUAGGCAUGGCACCGGCAAAAACAGCAUCUGGAAAGCAAGAAUAUAUUCCUUAAUGCCAUAUUUUAAAGAGAACAAAGGUUCUUUUUCAUCUAUAAUAUUUGAACUCAAAUUAAGAAUACAAAAUACAUUUAAAUAAUCAUCACUGGCACCGUUCUUAUUCUUUGCUCAAUAUUGUCGACUAUAAUAGGAACCAACUUUGUUAUCUCUGCGCGAGGAACUGUGUGAAAUAUUUUUACUAGGAUUAUAAAAUCUAGCUCGCACAACUCCGUAAAGUGGGCUAUAGGUUAUUCUUGUUUUGUAAAUGAGGCAACAGACAUCACAGGGGAGAGUGACCGGCCCAAGACCACACACCUCGGCAGUGUCCAAGCCCACCCUCUUAGCUGCUUCACUACAGCCUCCUGCCAUGGUCAAGCUCAAGAGUUGGAUCAGACAGUCAGCACUGACUGAAGUGGAGAAGGAGUGCUGUUGACAUUCCCAUGGUCAGAAGUACCUUUUCCAAUGGCCUGUAACUAGCAAAGCCAUGGCAACUACCCUGCUGUUACUAUAGUUACUACAGUACAGUUACACAAGGAUGAAUGCCUUACCCGUCGAGAGCACACCAAGGAAGCUACAACACACAUGUGAGGUGUUAGAAACAACUU